CGGCAGCACAGAGGAGCUUGCUCCUUGGGUGGCGAGUGGCGGACGGGUGAGUAAUGCAUCGGGACCUACCCUGUCGUGGGGGAUAACCUCGGGAAACCGGGACUAAUACCGCAUACGACCUACGGGUGAAAGCGGGGGACCUUCGGGCCUCGCGCGACUGGACGGACCGAUGUUCCAUUAGCUAGUUGGUGUGGUAACGGCACACCAAGGCUACGAUGGGUAGGGGCCCUGAGAGGGGGAUCCCCCACACUGGUACUGAGACACGGACCAGACUCCUACGGGAGGCAGCAGUGAGGAAUAUUGGACAAUGGGCGAGAGCCUGAUCCAGCCAUGCCGCGUGCAGGAAGACUGCCCUAUGGGUUGUAAACUGCUUUUUUACGGGAAGAAACACCCUCUCGUGAGGGGGCUUGACGGUACCGUACGAAUAAGGACCGGCUAACUCCGUGCCAGCAGCCGCGGUAAUACGGAGGGUCCCGAGCGUUAUCCGGAAUCAUUGGGUUUAAAGGGUCCGUAGGCGGGCGAUUAAGUCAGUGGUGAAAUUCUGCAGCUCAACUGUAGACCUGCCAUUGAUACUGGUCGUCUUGAAUCGUUGUGAAGUGGCUAGAAUAUGUGGUGUACCGGUGAAAUGCUUAGAUAUUACAUAGAAUACCGAUUGCGAAGGCAGGUCACUAACAACGUAUUGACGCUGAUGGACGAAAGCGUGGGGAGCGAACAGGAUUAGAUACCCUGGUAGUCCACGCCGUAAACGAUGGAUACUAGCUGUCCGGCCCACAUUGGUGGGCUGGGUGGCCAAGCGAAAGUGAUAAGUAUCCCACCUGGGGAGUACGUUCGCAAGAAUGAAACUCAAAGGAAUUGACGGGGGCCCGCACAAGCGGUGGAGCAUGUGGUUUAAUUCGAUGAUACGCGAGGAACCUUACCAGGGCUUAAAUGUAGUCUGACAGGAUUGGAAACAGUCUUUUCUUCGGACAGAUUACAAGGUGCUGCAUGGUUGUCGUCAGCUCGUGCCGUGAGGUGUCAGGUUAAGUCCUAUAACGAGCGCAACCCCUGUUGUUAGUUGCCAGCGAGUCAAGUCGGGAACUCUAACAAGACUGCCGGUGCAAACCGUGAGGAAGGUGGGGAUGACGUCAAAUCAUCACGGCCCUUACGUCCUGGGCCACACACGUGCUACAAUGGCAGGUACAAUGGGCAGCCACUGCGUAAGCAGGAGCGAAUCCACAAAACCUGUCUCAGUUCGGAUCGGGGUCUGCAACUCGACCCCGUGAAGCUGGAAUCGCUAGUAAUCGGAUAUCAGCCAUGAUCCGG
rnacentral:rRNA from 1 species